rnacentral:rRNA from 1 species
AUGGCGGCUGCUCCUCUCUGGCUUGGACCAGAAGCCAGGCAGCUGUGUUUGGGUUCAGAUAGAAGAGCUCCAUGCUUACAAACUUUCGGGAUAACCGAGUUUAUCAAUGCCAAAGUCUUGCAGGAGCGCGACGCUUUGCUGACCAAGAAGAUUGAGAGGGGGCGCCAAUUGCUAGAUAGCGAGAAGGCCCGAACUGCUGCGUUGGAGGCCUCAGUAUCCGAUUGCAUCUCUUGUUAUUGCUGUGAUGAAGCAGCCGAGGAGCAAUAUUGCAAGAUUCGUCGUUGUCUUAGCUUGUCCAUCCGGGAUGAGAUUGAAGCUUCAGGGAAGCGUGAGGGCCCUUUGAUUGCCGAGGGGGCCGCCCUGCGAGAGGUAUUCUUCCGUAAAUAUAUGUUGUGCCGGAUCAAGACAGCCUUGGUGUUGUCACUAGGCGCUGACCCGUGUGGCAGUUGGAGCCUGGGAUCGCUUGGUCGACCUCCAAGAAGCUGCCGCCAAGGAAGGAGCCUGACUUGUGCUUGCACGCUUGAGUCGCGCUGUAGCGAGGUCUCCACUCAUGUUGUUGCGACCUCCAUUCCUGAGAACCGCCCACUAACGGAUUUCUUUGAAGUCAAGGACACCACCUUGAUGGUGGCGACUGGAUGUGAGCCUGAAAGAGUAGGAACAUUUGUUGGCCAUGUGUGGCGUUAG